AUCCAUAGCCGAAGAAUCGUCACUAAUCGAAGCUUACAAAAUGGAAUCUUUAUUGAUUCAUCCAAUGCUUUGGGUAGAAAGUCUCCCACCAAUUCAUAUGCGGAAAACGUAAUAAGAUUUAAAAAUUUUAAAUUGUUUAAAUCAACUUAUUAAGAAAGUUUUACAUUUUCUUCUAGACCUAGGAUGUCUUUGCAUGUCCUGGUGUUAUCUUCGGUACUGAGAUCGAAAGUUAUUUGGAUCUUAAACGAUAGUCAUGACGAUUGCUUUUCCUUUUUAACAAGGUAAAGUAACCCAAUGGAGCUUACUAUUCUUGGCUCAUGGA
rnacentral:RNase_MRP_RNA from 2 species